AAAACUAGAGAUCACUUUUUUUUUAUUGUGAUUUCUCUAAGGAAGUCUGGAUGAAUAUUUUGCGUGCUUGUUUCAUUUAUAGGUCUAUUCGGGGUGGUCUUUUGAGCUUGAGUGGAUGUGUAGCAAGCCACGUAAGAAAUCUCUUUUGGCUAUGGUUCUUAAGUUGGCCUAGAAUGGUUGUAUCUAUUUUUUGUGGCGGGAGAGGAAUCGUUGGUUAUUUCAGCAGGUUGAGUUGAAUCUACGGUGCAGCAUGUGACUCGACAGGUUCGAGAUUGCGUCAAGCUUAGGCUUGCGGGGAAGAUCAAGGCUAGUCAAUGGCAGAUUUAUGAAGACUUAUGUGGACUCAUUGAAGGGUGAGGAUAUCAUUUAUAUAAUAUGACAAAAGCCCAUUGCUUAUCUAACAUCGAUGUAACAUAAAUAAAGGAGACUUGAGAGAAGUUAGAGUUCUGAGUGUGAAAAAUAGUUAGAGAAAUGAAUCGUCCGAUUCUUCUGCUACAAAAUGCAAUAGGAAAGCGGCGCUGCUGCCUAGUGUGCCUUGUCCCUGUCAUCAAUGGCUCCAG